GCGGUGGUAUCAACGCAGGAGCACAAAUCCUCCAUCAUCCCGCAAAUAAUAAUCAUUCUAGAUAUAUUAUGUUUAUGUUUAUUAUUAAAGAUUGCUUGAUUACAUAAAAAUU